UGGAAUUUUAACAAAAAUGAGAGAAAAACUGAAGGUCAGCUAAGCAGCAGCAGUACACAGCAAUUAACAGCAGUUUUGAAGUAAUUUCACCAUGACAUCAGGUAACCCAGUCAGUGAUUUUACUCAAGUAACACCAUUGAACAACACAAAAACAGCUUGAAUAAACUCAAAUAAACCCAUAAAUGACCUCAGAAACUUCUGAAAACCACGAUUACUGAAGCACCCGAGAAUUUAAGCCAUUUUCAACCCUUAGAUAAGCUGAAAAUCUAACUCAAAACUCAUAACUUCAGGAUCUCCCUAAGAAAACUCAAUGGGACAGUAAUUUUUUUAAAAGAAAUCUUAGAUCUCCGGACCUCUAAGAAUUUUUUGUGAUUGUUUUCAG
rnacentral:lncRNA from 1 species